rnacentral:lncRNA from 1 species
AAGAAUCAAUUUCAAGCUACCUGGUAGUAAAAUGGUGUUGUAAACACUAGUUUAUGGAAUAGUGAUCAACAGUAUUAUCGUUAGUGGUACAGUGGUACUCUUUCGAUAAAUCUAUUCAUGUUUAUCUUCUCCGCUAUGGAGUUGCAUACAGAAAGCAUUAUCUUAUCUUUACAGUGGUACAGUUGGUCCCUCUCAGCGAAUUAUUGAACUUCUACGUUUUGCGAAUUCAAUUUCUUCAUGGUAUCCAAGAACGUCGUCCUGAGGUUAAUCUUAUCUAUCUUUCUUUCAUAAUUCCAAUUUAGUGUAGGAGCAAAUGAACUUGGCUGAUCUGUUGUUUAUUUGCUUCAGGUACUCUCUUUAAUCCCACCAUAUGAAGGCAAAUCUGU